GACGAACCGUGCGAACGUUGUUCGGAAUCACUGGGCUUAAAGGGCGCGUAGGCGGGCUGCCGAGUCCGGGGUGAAAUCCUCCCGCUCAACGGGAGAACGGCCCCGGGUACUGGCGGCCUCGAGGCGGGUAGGGGCGUGCGGAACACUGGGUGGAGCGGUGAAAUGCGUUGAUAUCCAGUGGAACUCCGGUGGCGAAGGCGGCGCGCUGGACCCGAGUCUGACGCUGAGGCACGAAAGCGUGGGGGAGCAAACAGG
rnacentral:rRNA from 1 species